GAAAUUACCUGGCAGGGGAGAUACCAUGAUCACAAAGGUGGUUUCCCAGGGCAAUGCUCAUCCAUUGCAUUCUGGAUGUGCUGACCACUGCAAAUUCCCCAAAUGUGAAAAAUUCGACUGCAUAAUUUGUGGUGGGGGGAACUGUGUUCGAGCUUUCCCUAG
ensembl:snRNA U1 U1 spliceosomal RNA